AGAUUGAACGCUGGCGGCGUGCUAACACAUGCAAGUCGAACGCGAACGGGGGCUUACGGCCCCAAGUAGAGUGGCGCACGGGUGAGUAACGCGUGGACAAUCUGCCCUUAUGACUGGAAUAACAGUUGGAAACGGCUGCUAAUACCGGAUACGCUCAGGAAGAACUUUUUGAGGAAAGGCGGCCUCUGCUUGCAAGCUGUCGCAUAAGGAUGAGUCCGCGUCCCAUUAGCUAGUUGGCGGGGUAACGGCCCACCAAGGCAACGAUGGGUAGCCGAUUUGAGAGGAUGAUCGGCCACACUGGGACUGAAACACGGCCCAGACUCCUACGGGAGGCAGCAGUGGGGAAUAUUGCGCAAUGGGCGAAAGCCUGACGCAGCGACGCCGCGUGAGGGAUGAAAAGGUUUUCGGAUCGUAAACCUCUGUCAGAAGGGAAGAAACUGCCGUGCUCUAAUCAUCAUGGCAUUGACGGUACCUUCAAAGGAAGCACCGGCUAACUCCGUGCCAGCCGCCGC
rnacentral:rRNA from 1 species